rnacentral:rRNA from 1 species
UACGUAGGGUGCAAGCGUUGUCCGGAAUUAUUGGGCGUAAAGAGCUCGUAGGCGGUCUGUCGCGUCGAAUGUGAAAACCCGGGGCUCAACCCCGGGCCUGCAUUCGAUACGGGCAGACUAGAGUUCGGUAGGGGAGUCUGGAAUUCCUGGUGUAGCGGUGAAAUGCGUAGAUAUCUGGAGGAACACCGGUGGCGAAGGCGGCAUCCUGGACCGGCAUUGACGCUGAGGCGCGAAAGCCAGGGGAGCAAACGGG